ACUACGGGAGGCAGCAGUGGGGGAUAUUGGACAAUGGGGGGAACCCUGAUCCAGCGACGCCGCGUGAGUGAAGAAGUAUUUCGGUAUGUAAAGCUCUGUCAGCAGGGAAGAAAGAAAUGACGGUACCUGACCAAGAAGCCCCGGCUAACUACGUGCCAGCAGCCGCGGUAAUACGUAGGGGGCAAGCGUUAUCAGGAAUUACUGGGUGUAAAGGGAGCGUAGACGGGUAAGUAAGUCUGGAGUGAAAGGCCGGGGCCCAACCCCGGGACUGCUUUGGAAAAUAAUUGACUUGAGUGCAGGAGAGGUAAGCGGAAUGCCUGGUGUAGCGGUGAAAUGCGUAGAUAUUAGGAGGAACACCAGUGGCGAAGGCGGCUUACUGGACUGUAACUGACGUUGAGGCUCGAAAGCGUGGGGAGCAAACAGGAUUAGAUACCCCAGUAGUC
rnacentral:rRNA from 1 species